UACGGAGGGAGCUAGCGUUGUUCGGAAUUACUGGGCGUAAAGCGCACGUAGGCGGCUUUUUAAGUCAGGGGUGAAAUCCCACGGCUCAACCGUGGAAGUGCACUCGAAACUGCGUAGCUAGAGUCCUGGAGAGGAAGGUGGAAUGCUUGGUGUAGAGGUGAAAUUCGUAGAUAUCAAGCGGAACACCGGUGGCGAAGGCGGCCUUCUGGACAGUGACUGACGCUGAGACGCGAAAGCGUGGGGAGCAAACAGG
rnacentral:rRNA from 1 species